UACGGAGGGUGCUAGCGUUGUUCGGAAUUACUGGGCGUAAAGGGCGCGUAGGCGGCCGUUUGCGUCGGAUGUGAAAGCCCGGGGCUCAACCUCGGAACGGCAUUCGAUACGGGACGGCUGGAGACCGGGAGAGGAGAGUGGAAUAGCCAGUGUAGAGGUGAAAUUCGUAGAUAUUGGCUGGAACACCGGUGGCGAAAGCGGCUCUCUGGCCCGGCUCUGACGCUGAGGCGCGAAAGCGUGGGGAGCAAACAGG
rnacentral:rRNA from 1 species